UACGUAGGGACCGAGCGUUGUCCGGAUUCAUUGGGCGUAAAGAGCUCGUAGGCGGCUGUUCAAGUCGAACGUGAAAACUCGGAGCUCAACUCCGAGCCUGCGUUCGAUACUGGACGGCUAGAGUCUGGUAGGGGGAUCUGGAAUUCCUGGUGUAGCGGUGGAAUGCGCAGAUAUCAGGAGGAACACCGGUGGCGAAGGCGGGGAUCCUGGCCGUAG
rnacentral:rRNA from 1 species